GUGCUUGCUUCAGCAGCACAAACCCAAAACUUGAACAAAGAUUAGGAUGGUCCCCUCUACAAGGAUGACACCCAAAUUCGUGAAGUGUUCUGUGUUUUU
ensembl:snRNA U6 U6 spliceosomal RNA